UACGUAGGGGGCAAGCGUUGUCCGGAUUUAUUGGGCGUAAAGAGCGUGUAGGCGGCCAGACAGGUCAGCUGUGAAAACUCGAGGCUCAACCUCGAGACGUCGGUUGAAACCGUCUGGCUAGAGUCCGGAAGAGGAGAGUGGAAUUCCCGGUGUAGCGGUGAAAUGCGCAGAUAUCGGGAGGAACACCAGUGGCGAAGGCGGGCAUCUGGGCCAACACUGACGCUGAGGCGCGAAAGCUAGGGGAGCAAACAGG
rnacentral:rRNA from 1 species